UACGUAGGGUGCGAGCGUUAAUCGGAAUUACUGGGCGUAAAGUGUGCGCAGGCGGCCGCGCAAGUCGAGUGUGAAAAGCCCCCGAGCUUAACUUGGGAAUUGCGCUCGAAACUACGUGGCUGGAGUGUGGCAGAGGAAGGUGGAAUUCCACGUGUAGCGGUGAAAUGCGUAGAGAUGUGGAGGAACACCAAUGGCGAAGGCAGCCUUCUGGGCCAACACUGACGCUCAUGCACGAAAGCGUGGGGAGCAAACAGG
rnacentral:rRNA from 1 species